GCCUGGGUGGCUCAGUCGGUUAAGCGUCUGACUUCUGCUCAGGUCAUGUGGGUUCGAGCCCCGUGUCGGGCU